UUUAAAGGUAUAAAGCACAGGACUCAU
rnacentral:piRNA from 1 species